UGAACGCUGGCGGCGUGCUUAACACAUGCAAGUCGAGCGAGAACGUCGACUUCGGUCGACUAGUAAAGCGGCGAACGGGUGAGUAACACGUGGGCAACCUGCCCUGGAGUGGGGGAUAACCUGGGGAAACUCGGGCUAAUACCGCAUACGACCUCAGCACUGCGGUGCUGAGGGGAAAGCUGGCCAAUUCAUGAAAGCUAGCGCUCCUGGAGGGGCCCGCGCCCGAUUAGCUUGUUGGUGAGGUAACGGCUCACCAAGGCAGUGAUCGGUAGCCGGCCUGAGAGGGCGAUCGGCCACACUGGGACUGAGACACGGCCCAGACUCCUACGGGAGGCAGCAGUGGGGAAUAUUGGACAAUGGGCGCAAGCCUGAUCCAGCAACGCCGCGUGGAGGACGAAGGCCUUCGGGUCGUAAACUCCUGUCAGUUGGGACGAAAAGUCGUCGGUCAAUAGCCGGCGAUCAUGACGGUACCAGCAGAGGAAGCCCCGGCUAACUCCGUG
rnacentral:rRNA from 1 species